GACGAACGCUGGCGGCGUGCUUAACACAUGCAAGUCGAACGAAGUGGCGAACGGGUGAGUAACGCGUAAUCAACCUGCCCUUCAGAGGGGGACAACAGUUGGAAACGACUGCUAAUACCGCAUACUGAAGGAGGGGAGUGCGUCUGAGUCGCUGGUUGGAGGGGUAACGGCCCACCACGGCGAUGAUCAGUAGCCGGUCUGAGAGGAUGAACGGCCAAAAUGGGAAUGGGAACAGGCCCAGACUCCUACGGGGGGCAGCAGUGGGGAAUCUUCCGCAAUGGAGGGAAGGCUGACGGAGCAACGCCGCGGGAGUGAUGACGGCCUUCGGGUUGUAAAGGUCUGUUAAUCGGGACGCGGUACCGGAAUAGAAAGCCACGGCUAACUACGUGCCAGCAGCCGCGGUAAUUC
rnacentral:rRNA from 1 species